rnacentral:rRNA from 1 species
GACGAACGCUGGCGGCGUGCUUAACACAUGCAAGUCGAACGGUGAAGCGCCUUCCUUUUUGGUGGGUGUGGAUGAGUGGCGAACGGGUGAGUAACACGUGAGUAACCUGCCCCCUUCUUCUGGAUAACCGCAUGAAAGUGUGGCUAAUACGGGAUAUUCUGGGUCUGUCGCAUGAUGGGUCUGGGAAAGAUAUUGUUUCGGUGGGGGAUGGGCUCGCGGCCUAUCAGCUUGUUGGUGGGGUGAUGGCCUACCAAGGCGGUGACGGGUAGCCGGCCUGAGAGGGUGGACGGUCACACUGGGACUGAGACACGGCCCAGACUCCUACGGGAGGCAGCAGCGGGGAAUAUUGCACAAUGGGCGCAAGCCUGAUGCAGCGACGCCGCGGGAGGGAUGGAGGCCUUCGGGUUGUGAACCUCUUUCGCCAGUGAAGCAGGCCUGCCUCGUUUGUGGGUGGGUUGACGGUAGCUGGAUAAGAAGCGCCGGCUAACUACGUG